AUGCAGUUACCACUGAACCCAUUGAUCAAGAGAGCUUGAUUCAGAAAAAGAAGUGAUCUUCCCAGGCAUGUGGUUUAAAAUUCUUGCUGCAGGCAUUUUGGACCUCUGAAACCUCUGGGAGAUGAAGUGCAGGAAGAAACACCUGGAGUACUGCUGAAGGAAGAUGAAAAGUUAAUCCAACUGAAUACAAGAGGCUAAUAAUGAAGGAGUCAGUAAAAGCCAGUGCCAUGAGAGUUAUCUCAUGGCCUCAGAUGCUGGAUAAGUUGAAGAAGGCAGAAAUCACUUCUGGAUGACAUUCAAGUCUGAAUGAUGAUUUGAAGAAGAA